GACGAACGCUGGCGGCGUGCUUAACACAUGCAAGUCGAACGGAAAGGCCCGGCGUUUGUGGGUUGCUCGAUUGGCGAACGGGUGAGUAACACGUGAGUAACCUGCCCUUGACUGUGGGAUAACUUCAGGGAACUGGGGCUAAUACCGGAGAGGAGCUCCUGCUGCGUGUGGUUGGUUGGAAAGUUUCGGCGGUUGGGGAUGUACUCGCGGCUUAUCAGCUUGUUGGGGGGGUAGUGGCGUACCAAGGCUUUGACGGGUAGCCGGCAUGAGAGGGUGACCGGGCACCUUGGGACUGAGAGAAGGACCAGAAUCGUACGGGCGGCAGUAGUGGAGAAUCUUGCACAAUGGGCGGACGCCUGAUGCAGAAAUGCCGGGUGCGGGAUGACGGGCUUCGGGUUGAAAACAGCUUUGGAAUGUGCCGAAGACUGAGUGACGGUAAUGGGUCAAGAAGCAACGGCUAACUACGUG
rnacentral:rRNA from 1 species